rnacentral:tRNA from 1 species
ACCUGGCUGGCUCAGUUGGUAGAGCAUGUGACUCUUGAUCUCAUGAGUUGUGAGUUCAACACCCAUGUUGGGUG